GCCGGGUGCUCCUGCAGAUAAACCCGGACGCCACGUCCCGCCUCGGCUGCUUAUUUAGCAAGGCGCCUUCUGCGCAUAUUUUACCCGGCUGGGGGCAGUGAGUGGGAACCGCCGGGAGAGGGGGCGGGGAACCACCAACUACUCGCCUUCGGACCCAGUGUGCCGGCCUCCGGCCCCAGCCAUUUUGUAUCCAGCUUCCCUCCUCCACUCCCACCGGGUCCCUGCGAAGACGCACCACCCCGAACCCCUUCGCGGUACCACUCCCGAACUGGAGGGGUAGAGAAGGCUCUGCCAGCCCCUCGCCUGCAGCAGGAAGGCCUCAGCUCAUCUGUUGUGUUCACCAUGGGAACCUAAGAAUUGAUCAUCUGAAUGAAGAGUUGCCUUCCUUCCAGCUGCUGCCAGAGUUUCUCCUCAGAAGAGAGUAAAUACAGACUGGAGCAUUGCCCUUGGUGUUGCCCUGAAAGCGUCCCAGGUGUCAGAUCGCACUGGGCCAUUCCUGGAGUAGGUGAUGUUACUGUUUAGAGUUCAGUGCUAACCCACCACCUCCACCAAUCGAGACCUAAGCCGUUAAUUAUUCUGAAAAUACCAAAAAUAAAGAUUGCAGGGAAGGCAAUUAAUAGGAUCAUACGGUCUAUUCCUCAUUUGUAAUUACAUAUUAUUAUUUUUCUCCCUACUUUGUUCCAAUAAUGAUUUAAGGCUGCUUCCAAAGAUACACAAAACCCAGCAAAGAUAAAUAGAAGAAGUGGAAUAUGAAUUAUAAUGUCAUGCCUGCUCACAACAUCUCUGCCCCAUUCCACAUAAUAGAAGUGAAUUCAUAACGCCUUUCAAAAAUGAGGUAAUUCAGCUAUUUUGGUGGCAACACUAGGCUCUUUGUAAAGUGAAAGGGUGGUACACGAUCAUGGAAAAACCAUGGAGGGGACACUCGAUCCCCUUUCUAAUGCUUGCUUUCUUGGUGUGUGACCUUGGGCAAGUCGCUCACCCUCUCUGGACUUCAGCUUCUGAAACUCUCAAAUGUCUCUGCCAAUCCCUGAGGCUUCCUCCUCUUUCUGACGUCCAAGGGCACCAUCAAGAAGGCAGAGGCCAGUACUACUGCCCUCUGGCAUGAGGCUUCCUAGAACUACUAUUCGAGAGAUAGUUUCCCAGGAAGUAUACUAUGCUCGCACUCUUUCUCUCUCUCUCUCUCUCUCUCCACCCCCCCCACCCCUUUUCCUCCCUCCCUAUCUGUCUUCUCUCUAACACACCACAGGCACAGAGAAGUCUUUCUGGAUGACUGAGAUAAUAGAACUGAAAUUGUCUCCUCCCCCAAGGCAAGGACCCCCCCUUUCAGGAAAGUGACUUUAAGGGUAGCACUGAGGGGAUCUUUUUGGGAGGCGGGGAGUCACAACCCUUCUGACCUUUCUGUCCUCCCCUCAGGUGUGAGCUUUCACUUUCUUUCCUCUUCUUGCAGUUCAAGACAUUCUUUUAUUUAUUUUAUUUAUUUUUUUCUGAGACAGAGUUUUGCUCUUAUCCCCCAGGCUGUUGUGCAGUGGCGCGAUCUCAGCUCACUGCAACCUCCGCCUCCCAGGUUCAAGUGACUCUCCUGCCUCAGCCUCCUGAGUAGCUGGGAUUACAGGCGCCCACCGCCGCACCUGGCUAAUUUUUUUUUGUAU
rnacentral:lncRNA from 10 species